rnacentral:rRNA from 1 species
GAUGAACGCUGGCGGCGUGCCUAAUACAUGCAAGUCGAGCGAACAGACGAGGAGCUUGCUCCUCUGACGUUAGCGGCGGACGGGUGAGUAACACGUGGAUAACCUACCUAUAAGACUGGGAUAACUUCGGGAAACCGGAGCUAAUACCGGAUAAUAUAUUUAACCGCAUGGUUCAAUAGUGAAAGACGGUUUUGCUGUCACUUAUAGAUGGAUCCGCGCCGCAUUAGCUAGUUGGUAAGGUAACGGCUUACCAAGGCAACGAUGCGUAGCCGACCUGGGAGGGUGAUCGGCCACACUGGAACUGAGACACGGUCCAGACUCCUACGGGAGGCAGCAGUAGGGAAUCUUCCGCAAUGGGCGAAAGCCUGACGGAGCAACGCCGCGUGAGUGAUGAAGGUCUUCGGAUCGUAAAACUCUGUUAUUAGGGAAGAACAAAUGUGUAAGUAACUAUGCACGUCUUGACGGUACCUAAUCAGAAAGCCACGGCUAACUACGUG